GCAGAAAGGAGGCAUCCUCACCCCAGACGCCUCUUCAAGGUCACCCCUGGUAAUUCCGCACUAGGCACUCUCUCCCCGCUCCUUUGCUCCCGCUCAGACAGACCUCCUGGCACUGCUUGGUCUUCUCCCCUACUAUGAGCGGCAUCAAAAUGUCUCCCUGAAAAAGAUGAAAACUCAAACGUAUCUGAUAAAUACCUUGGCAAAAGAGCUUUAACAAAAAUGAUUUCACGUGGGACACUGGGAGUACAUCACCUAUUAGGAUAAACUAAGCUUUGGGAUACAACACUGGUAUUUGCCCCGUGACUUGUAAGGAAAAGCUCUUUUUAGCAGAUUAGUGGCUCUCUUCUAAAGAGCCUCUUGAUGAAAGUGAAAGAGGAGAGUGAAAAAGUUGG